rnacentral:rRNA from 1 species
UCUGGCAAUAAUGGCGAGAAUGUCACACCCGUUCCCAUACCGAACACGGAAGUUAAGCUUCUCAGCGCCGAUGGUAGUUGGGNNUUUCUGUCUUUUUCUUUCCCCUUUUUGAGAAUUGGAAAAAACUUUCUGUUGUAAGUA